rnacentral:rRNA from 1 species
UCGGGAAUCUUGGACAAUGGGCGCAAGCCUGAUCCAGCCAUGCCGCGUGGAUGAUGAAGGCCUUAGGGUUGUAAAAUCCUUUCGCCGAGGACGAUAAUGACGGUACUCGGAGAAGAAGCUCCGGCUAACUUCGUGCCAGCAGCCGCGGUAAUACGAAGGGGGCUAGCGUUGUUCGGAUUUACUGGGCGUAAAGCGCGUGUAGGCGGGUCGUUAAGUUGGGGGUGAAAUCCCGAGGCUCAACCUCGGAACUGCCUUCAAAACUGGCGACCUGGACCUAAGUAGAGGCAAGUGGAAUUGCGAGUGUAGAGGUGAAAUUCGUAGAUAUUCGCAGGAACACCAGUGGCGAAGGCGACUUGCUGGACUUAUGGUGACGCUGAGACGCGAAAGCGUGGGGAGCAAACAGGAUUAGAUACCCCGGUAGUCCCUGAGCGGGCUGGCAAGGCGCAU